UAAAAAAAUGGAAAUACCCAAAUAGUUUCUAGACUCGUUCCUCGAAAUAACAGCUUCUAUACUUGGUCCGACGCGAGGCUGCCGAUUUUUCCAUUUCUCUAGCUCCUCAUUUUCUCUCCAACUUGUCCAGGAACCUCUUUGCUGUCAUCAUUCGCAGCCGGCGUGUCUAAUCGCUGACGAAGAUAUUGCCAUUCGCCUAUUUUCCUUCAUUUCUUCUUUAAAUUAUGUCAUUUUUCUUUCUCCAUUAGAUUGCAUUGCCAGUUUCCCAAUUUGAAUUUCAUUUGUGAUUAGUUACAAAUUAUGUUGCAAUUUCGGUAGUAAUUUUGGUUAGGAAUUGUUGGUUUUUUUUUUUGGGGGGGGGGGGAGAUUUGAUUGAAAUAGAGCUCCAAUGUUUUGGGAGUUUUGAUCAGCCUUUGUUUGGGUAAUAAUAAGUCUAAUUAGGGUUUCCGAUGGGAGAUUAGGUUGUGGAGGUAUUGGGAUCAGUCAUCCAAAUUGGGGGUUUUCUGGUUCAGUCAAAUUAUCAUUAUGUUAUAUAGGAAAUUAUAUGACUUCCCUCUUAACCUAAUGGGUUUGUUAUUGGGUAAUUUAAAUUGGUACCUUGUUUAGAGAUAAUUCUAAUGAUGGAAUUUAGGUGCAAACUCCGAGCUGGAUUAGUUGACCUGGACCUUAUGAUCUAUGCACAUCAUGGUUUUUAUGUACACUUAAAUACUUCUUGAAUUUUAUCUACAAUUUUGUAGUUGAAGCUUCAUUGUUCAUGAUAUUAUUAGAGAGAUUUUGGGGAAAUUCUUUUUUGGCGUAUUAUAAAUCUCUUAAAGAUGAAAGUAACAUGUAUUUUGAGGCAGUCCAUCUUCCUAAAAUUAUGGUUUAUAACAAAAAUCCUUGUGUGUCAAACAUUGAAGACUCAAAAUCUAACGGUGGGCAAUCAUCAAGACAACAUAUUUACCCAUUGAAUUUGAAAUAAAAGACGAUUGCUUACGCCAUCUCACCAAACACAAACUCUAGGGUUUCUAAUGGCAGGCUAUGGAAAUGUUGUCCCAUAUAGAUCAAGGAAGGGUCUUAACCCAAGACCAGCGGCUAACAUGGACGAAAUCCAAUUGAGGAUUGAUCCAAUGUAUGCUGACUUGGAUGAAGACAUCAAAGGCCUCCACAACCAAGUAGAAGAUUGAGAAAUGUAGCUCAAGUUAUAGGUACGGAAGCAAAAUUCCAGAAUGAAUUUCUGGAUCAGCUGGUCAAGCAGGGUUGAAGAACAAUGUCAGGAGAUUGAACCGAAGCAUCGUCCGGAGUGGAUCAAACCAUGUUGUCCACGUGGUGGCUUUUGGACUACUUUUUUUCUUCGUGGUAUACUUUUGGUCCAAACUGUUCAGAUGAAGAUCAGAUACUUUGGAUACUUCAUGCCUUACAAACAUCUGUGUUUUAAGGCUAAAAGAGGUUUCAUCGACAACACAAAUACUUGUUUCAUUGUAAAGCUAUCGUCAUGUUCAUGUUCACUAAACAAGUUGAACAUCUUAACAAUCUUGGUUCGAGUUUCUCAAAGGAUUGUGCUUAUAGCGUCAUUGUACAACAACCCCACUAAUCAUGUAAGCAGUAUGUGACAAUGUUUUCUUAUCUUGGUUUCUUUAUACCAUAUUUAACUUUUGUGUGGAGAAUGAAA